UACGUAGGGAGCAAGCGUUGUCCGGAAUUACUGGGUGUAAAGGGAGCGUAGGCGGGGAUGCAAGUUGGGUGUCAAAACUACCGGCUCAACCGAUAGUCGCACUCAAAACUGCAGCUCUUGAGUGAAGUAGAGGCAGGCGGAAUUCCUAGUGUAGCGGUGAAAUGCGUAGAUAUUAGGAGGAACACCAGUGGCGAAGGCGACUUUCUGGACUGUACCUGACGCUGAGGCGCGAAAGCGUGGGUAGCGAACGGG
rnacentral:rRNA from 1 species